rnacentral:rRNA from 1 species
GAACGCUAGCGGGAGGCCUAACACAUGCAAGCCGAGCGGUAUUUGUCCUUCGGGACAGAGAGAGCGGCGUACGGGUGCGGAACACGUGUGCAACCUACCUUUAUCAGGGGGAUAGCCUUUCGAAAGGAAGAUUAAUACCCCAUAAUAUAAACCAAGGCAUCUUGAUUUAUUGAAAACUCCGGUGGAUAGAGAUGGGCACGCGCAAGAUUAGAUAGUUGGUAGGGUAACGGCCUACCAAGUCAGUGAUCUUUAGGGGGCCUGAGAGGGUGAUCCCCCACACUGGUACUGAGACACGGACCAGACUCCUACGGGAGGCAGCAGUGAGGAAUAUUGGACAAUGGGUGAGAGCCUGAUCCAGCCAUCCCGCGUGAAGGACGACGGCCCUAUGGGUUGUAAACUUCUUUUGUAUAGGGAUAAACCUACUCUCGUGAGAGUAGCUGAAGGUACUAUACGAAUAAGCACCGGCUAACUCCGUGCCAGCAGCCGCGGUAAUACGGAGGGUGCAAGCGUUAUCCGGAUUUAUUGGGUUUAAAGGGUCCGUAGGCGGGCUUGUAAGUCAGUGGUGAAAUCUCAUAGCUUAACUAUGAAACUGCCAUUGAUACUGCAGGUCUUGAGUAAAGUAGAAGUGGCUGGAAUAAGUAGUGUAGCGGUGAAAUGCAUAGAUAUUACUUAGAACACCAAUUGCGAAGGCAGGUCACUAUGUUUUAACUGACGCUGAUGGACGAAAGCGUGGGGAGCGAACAGGAUUAGAUACCCUGGUAGUCCACGCCGUAAACGAUGCUAACUCGUUUUUGGGKCUUCGGCUUCAGAGACUAAGCGAAAGUGAUAAGUUAGCCACCUGGGGAGUACGUUCGCAAGAAUGAAACUCAAAGGAAUUGACGGGGGCCCGCACAAGCGGUGGAUUAUGUGGUUUAAUUCGAUGAUACGCGAGGAACCUUACCAAGGCUUAAAUGGGAAUUGACAGGUUUAGAAAUAGACUUUUCUUCGGACAAUUUUCAAGGUGCUGCAUGGUUGUCGUCAGCUCGUGCCGUGAGGUGUUAGGUUAAGUCCUGCAACGAGCGCAACCCCUGUCACUAGUUGCCAUCAUUCAGUUGGGGACUCUAGUGAGACUGCCUACGCAAGUAGAGAGGAAGGUGGGGAUGACGUCAAAUCAUCACGGCCCUUACGCCUUGGGCCACACACGUAAUACAAUGGCCGGUACAGAGGGCAGCUACCUAGCGAUAGGAUGCGAAUCUCGAAAGCCGGUCUCAGUUCGGAUUGGAGUCUGCAACUCGACUCUAUGAAGCUGGAAUCGCUAGUAAUCGCAUAUCAGCCAUGAUGCGGUGAAUACGUUCCCGGGCCUUGUACACACCGCCCGUCAAGCCAUGGAAGUUUGGGGUACCUGAAGUCGGUGACCGUAACAGGAGCUGCCUAGGGUA